AUUGAACGCUAGCGGGAUGCUUUACACAUGCAAGUCGAACGCGUGGCGGACGGGUGAUUACUAUAUCGGAACGUGCCCAGUCACGGGGGAUAACACAUCGAAAGAGUGGCUAAUACCGCAUACUAUUGGAACAGCCGAUAUCGGAUUCGCGAGUUGGUGGAGUAAAGGCUCACCAAGACAACGAUCCGUAGCUGGUUUUAGAGGACGACCAGCCACACUGGGACUGAGACACGGACAAGACUCCUGAGGGAUGAAGCAGUGGGGAAUUUUGGACACUGGGGGAAACCUUGAGCCAGCCCUCCCGCCUGGAUGAGAAGGCCUUCGGGUUUUAAAGGACUUUUGGCAGAGAAUCGGUAUCUGCCGAAUAAGCACCGGCUAACUACGUGCCAGCAGCCGCGGUAAUUC
rnacentral:rRNA from 1 species